CCCGGUGAAUAAUUAAACGGCCGCGGUACCCUAACCGUGCAAAGGUAGCAUAAUAAUUUGUCUACUAAUUAUAGACCUGUAUGAAAGGUAAAAUGAGGGCCUAACUGUCUCUUAUAAUAAAUCAAUUAAACUGAUCUCCCAGUAAAAAAGCUGAGAUACCCACAUAAGACCAGAAGACCCUGUGAAGCUUAAACUAACAAUUAAACCAAAUAAUAACUACUUUCGGUUGGGGCGACCUUGGAAAAAAAAAGAACUUCCAAAUCACGAUCUUACCUCGAACAAGAGGCCCACAAGCCACCAAACAUUGACCCAGCAUAGCUGAUAAACGAACCAAGUUACUCCAGGGAUAACAGCGCAAUCUUCUUCAAGAGCCCAUAUCAAAAAGAAGGUUUACGACCUCGAUGUUGGAUCAGGACAUCCUAA
rnacentral:rRNA from 1 species